GGCGAGUUAGGCGUCGAGUUCGAGGCUCCAAGCGGCCCGAUGCGCGGGGCCGCUCGGCCGAGGACUGGUGGUGGGACCGGCUGGCCCCUCGCGGCUCUGGGUACCACCUGCUGCAAGCGGACAGCAUGCUGCUCGUGCUGCCGGACCUGGAGCCUACCCGCGCUCGUGCUCACAGGCGCGCCCCUCGCCGCGCUCCGAGGUCACUGGCUCGUGGCCCCACAGCUGUCGCCAAGCCCAGGGCCAAACCCCGACCAGAGCCAUCACUUGACCAGGGCCUGGACUCUGGUUGGGGAGAUCGUAUUCCCUUAGAAGUCCUGGUGCAUAUUUUCGGGUUGUUGGUUGCGGCUCAUGGGCCCAUGCCGUUUCUUGGCAGGUACACUAACAGCGCCUGCCGGGGUUUAGACUGGCCCACUGAGCGGGUGGUGCAGAGCAGAGGGCAAAGCAUCUCAGCGGGCGUACACAAGUGCUCCAGCUCCAAUAGCUUUGAGAGCGGGCGACAGCAGGCUUUGAGACCGCUGCGCUGCCCCGAAGACGCUUCGUUGUAAGCAUUCCCCACAAAAGGCCACGCACUCUCAGCGAACUGUUUCUUCUCCUAGGGCUGCACGCGUUUGCCGUCAUUGGCAUGAAGCCACCUCUCAUCCUUCACUCUGGCAUACUGUGACCCUGUCACCGGCGCUGGUUGGCCGGGCUGCUAAGGGCAACCUUAAGGGAGAGAAGAAGCUCCUUGCUUGCCUGGAGUGGCUCAUACCCAAUCGGUGAGGGCUCUCUGUCAUCGUAUUCUUUCUCUGCCCGAGUCUCCCCGCACCAGUGUUGAGCAGGGAUGAUUCUGGCCAGGAGGGCAGCGUAAGGACUCUGGCACAACCACAGCUGGGCCUUGCUGUCGCCCAGGUUCUCACAGCUCCAGAGGUUGACCCUCAUCCACUGGAAGUCUCAAGUACACUCCGUGUUGGAGCUGGUUAGCAAGUUCUGUCCACGGCUCACCUUCCUGAAGCUUUCAGAUUGCCACGGUGUGACAGCUGAAACGCUGGUCAUGUUAGCAAAAGCCUGCUGUCAGCUCCACAGCCUAGAUCUACACCAUUCCAUGGUCGAGUCCACAGCUGUGGUGAGCUUCUUGGAGGAGGCGGGGUCCCGGAUGCGGAGGCUGUGGCUGACCUACAGUUCCCAGACCACAGCCAUCUUGGGUGCACUGCUGGGCAACUGCUGCUCCCAGCUCCAAGUCCUCGAGGUCAGCGCUGGCAUGAGCUGCAACAACACACCCUUGCAGCUGCCUGUGGAAGCCCUACAGAGAGGCUGCCCCCAGCUGCAGGUAUUUAUACCCUCCUCUCUCUCACCUGCCACUCUUCUGCCUACCUGCAGCCUGCCACUCCUCCCUCUGCCCAGGUGCUACGGCUGCUGAAUCUGAUUUGGCUUCCCAAGCCUUGUGGCCGAGGAGCGCCCCAGGGACCAGGAUUCCCCAGUCUGGAGGAGCUCUGCUUGGCUGGCUCCACCUGCAGCUUUGUGAGCAAUGAGGUUCUGGGCCGCUUGCUCCACUGCUCCCCCAAACUGCGCCUGCUGGAUCUUCGAGGCUGUGCUAGAAUCACUCCUACUGGGCUGUGUCAUUUGCCGUGUCAAGAGUUGGAGCAGCUCUACCUGGGCCUGUAUGGCAUGUCUGAUGGGUUGGCUCUAGCCAAGGAUGGCAGCCCCCUGUUGACCCAGAAGUGGUAUCACACCCUGAGGGAGCUGGACUUCAGUGGCCAAGGCUUCAGCGAGAAAGACUUGGAACAGGCCCUGGCUGUUUUCUCAGGCACCACUGAGGGCUUACCCCCAGCCUUGUGUUCCCUCAACCUAAGGGGUACCCGAGUUACACCAAGCACAGUCAGUUCUGUGAUUAGCAGUUGCCCGGGGCUGCUGUAUCUCAAUCUGGAGUCCUGUCGUUGUCUCCCACGAGGUCUGAAGCGUGCCUACAGGGGCCUGGAGGAAGUCCAGUGGUGUCUAGAGCAGCUACUUACGAGCCCGCCCUCUUCCAGAGAGUCCACAUAACUCAAGACGGCUCCCCGCUUUGCCCUGCCCUUUUUCACUUGGAGAUGUUUGAGCUUUUGUUACAGUAAAGUAUUUUUUAGGCACUUUUGUAC
rnacentral:lncRNA from 1 species